UACGUAGGGUGCAAGCGUUAAUCGGAAUUACUGGGCGUAAAGCGUGCGCAGGCGGUUAUAUAAGACAGUUGUGAAAUCCCCGGGCUCAACCUCGGGAACUGCAUCUGUGACUGUAUAGCUAGAGUACGGUAGAGGGGGAUGGAAUUCCGCGGUGUAGCAGUGAAAUGCGUAGAUAUGCGGAGGAACACCGAGUGGCGAAGG
rnacentral:rRNA from 1 species